ensembl:snRNA U1 U1 spliceosomal RNA
AUACUUAGCUGGCAGGGGAGAUACCAUGAUCACGAAGGUGGUUUUCCCAGGGCGAGGCUUAUCCAUUGCACUCCGGAUGUGCUGACCCCUGCGAUCUCCCCAAAUGUGGGAAACUCGACUGCGUAAUUCGUGGUAGUGGGAGACUGUGUUCGCGCUCUCCCCUG